rnacentral:lncRNA from 1 species
GAGUUAUUGACAGGUAUUCCUUCUUUCCAGAGACAGGAUUCUAACUUUCACUGGAACACCUCUGACCACUACACUAUACUUCACAAGUGCUGCUCCCAGACCAGUUUUUUUUUUUUUUUGGUUUUUCGAGACAGGGUUUCUCUGUGUAGCCCUAACUGUCCUGGAACUCACUUUGUAGACCAGGCUGGCCUCGAACUCAGAAGUCCGCUUGCCUCUGCCUCCCGAGUGCUGGGAUUAAAGGCGUGCGCCACCACACCCAGCUUCCAGACCAGUUCCUUGCAACUUAGAAACUACCUUUAAAAAAGAACUUAAAAAGUAUUUAUUUAUUUAUUUAUUUAUUUAUUUAUUUAUUUAUUUAUUAUUUGUUAGAGGGAAGGUGUGUGCCACCUGUGUGUAGAGAGGUCAGGGAACUGCUGUCUGACCUCUGUUCUUUCCUGCUACCAUGUAGGUUUCAGGAAUCACUUUCAGAUUAUCAGGUGAGGGGGCAAAAGCCUUUACCAACUGAGCCAUCUGUGGGCUCUCAUUAAGGAUCUUUAAGCAGAUGUUCUAUGUUCUUUUUUCUAGCCCUGGAACAUGGGUGAGGCAGUAUUUCCAAGUCCUGUAGAAUCAAAUGUAAAGAAAAAAACUUUAAAAUGCCCAGGAAGAGCCCUGGCAUGAAGUCCAGGAUUAGUUUUCUCCCCUUUCCUGACAAAAUAAAACCUGAAGAUUCACAUGAAACCAUCGCUUGACUAUCUGGGAGUGCACAGUAGAAGAGACAAGAGUUAGCACCAGCAGCUGCUGCUGUUAAAGGACCAGAGGUGAUGGUAGAAGGGUGGGGUAGCAAUGUCUUAGAAGAGUCUGCCAGUUGCUACUGGAAAAUUCCAUCCUAACAUCUGUGUUCUAUAGUCUAUUGAUGUUGAAUGCCAGUAGAGCUGGUUAUUGUCAAUGAAUGACAUCAUUAGUACAGUUGGGAGACCUAGGCUGGCAGAGCCAGGUCAAGGAUCCAUGUGUAGGCAAGAAUCAGGUGGUCACAAAAGGACACCCCCCACCCCCCAAUAUUCCCCACAGUCCCUCCCCCAGCCCAGAUAUUUCUUUAUUGUUCUCUUUGUCUAGUUUUGUACUGUUAGUAGCUGGGUGGUUUGCCCUCCACCCAUGAGCACCUCGAGGGCAAGUGCUAUUCAUCUUUGUUUCUGCAGCACCUAACAUAAUCCUGUGAAUGUUUGCCUUCACAACCCAAUGCACCUGGGGAGGGUGAGAGGAGCUGCUAUUUAUUAGGUGGCAUAAAUAUUCAAGGAACAUUACUUAAGUUAUCCGUUGACUCUUGACAACAUCCCUAUUUAUGGGAAAGUGGAGGAGGGAAUGCCACGUGCUGAACCUGAUCUAUGUGCCAGGAAUUCUACAAGGGACUUUAUACACAUAAUUUAAUCUUUUAAAUAAAUUUGCAGCCAGGCCUGCAGAAGAAUCCUGUAAUGCCAGCUACUUGGGAAGCUAGAGACAAAGACUGCAAGUUCAAGGCCAGUCUAGGUUGUAGACUACGUUCAACACAGGCAUGAUUCAAAAUAGACAGCAGAAGACGAACUGGGGAUGUAACUCAGUGGUGGAGUGUUAUCCUCUCAUGCGCAAGACAGUAGGUCCCAAUGCACCACCAAAAAAUGUUUUGCAUGGUAGGUGUGUUAUACUCAUUUCAACGACAGGAAUAAGGAGACUCAGACCAAAACAAAAACUAAAGAAAACAAACAAACAAAAACCAGAGAACAAACAAAACUUAAAGGUGGCAUAAUAGAUGUCAUAGGAAGAGUUGGAGUUAACAUGAUUUAAGCAUACAGGAGAAUAUCAUUGGGGUUCAGGCUUGGUUAAUGAGCAUAAUCCCACCGAUGAAAUGUCAAUAGCAAACAUGCCCUGGGAUGUCUCUGUAUUGGAAAAGAGAGUAACUCAGUGACUUGACAUGUGAAAUAAAAGUGAGUGGUACAAGACAGGGAAGGAUUAUUUCACAUCACCCUAUACUCAUAGGGAUUGAUCUUUGACAUUGGGGCAAAGGGAAUGUGUGGUGGUGUGAAUGAGAAUGGUCCCCUAGGCUCAAACAUUUGAAUGCUUGAUCCCCAGUUAGUGGAACUAUUUGGGAAGAAUUAGGAGGUGUGUCCAUUGUUAGAGGAGGUAUGUCACUAGGGGUGGGAUUUAAGGUUUUAAAAGCUCACGUCAUCCCAGUUAACUCUCUCUGCCUUGCAGUUGUUGCAUUAAGAUAUAAGCUCCCAGCUACUGCUCCAUCACCAUGCCUGGCCGCCUUCUGGAAUGAUUAUAGACUAAUCUUCUGAAAUUGUAAGCAAGCACCCAGUGAAUACUUUCUUCUGUAAACUGCCUUGGUCAUGAUGUUGCUUCACAGCAACAGAAAAGUAGCUAAAGAUAGAACAUGGUGGGAGUAUGUCAUAGUUUUAGUCAGAAGGCCCAUGGUCUAAUGAUUGUUCUAUGUCUGAUGACAUUAUUUUGUUGAAAUAUGGGGUCUUUAAGAAGUAGGGCUGGCUAAUAGAAGGAAGGUCGAAGAAAGACUUUUAGGGAAAGUCUCAAAGGCUUGUGUUGGAGUUGCGUUGCCUGCAGGGAGCCUCUGAGAAAGCUAUGAAUGAAAAUGUGAAGACUUCAGGAUAUUUUAGAGGCCAGUAAUGUGAGAUAUCUGAUAAAGAGAGUUGCAGGUUCUAGGGGAGCAAACCUAAGAGAUAAACCCAUAGAUGUCUGAGAUGUAGGGCCAUAAACUAUUGAUGUCUAAGACUGUUGGAGCCAUGUCAUGCCACCAUGUGUCCUAGAUGCUGGACAGGAAGCUCUGGAAUUUAAUGACUUUUUGUCUGCUGGAGUUUGGCUUUGCUUUG